UAAGAGGUCCCGCCUGCCCCGUGACUAUAAGUUUAACGGCCGCGGUAUUUUGACCGUGCAAAGGUAGCGCAAUCACUUGUCUUUUAAAUGAAGACCUGUAUGAAUGGCAAAACGAGGGCUUAACUGUCUCCUUUUCCAAGUCAAUGAAAUUGAUCCCCCCGUGCAGAAGCGGGGAUAUACUUAUAAGACGAGAAGACCCUAUGGAGCUUAAGACAAUAAACAGACUAAGUUAAUUACCCCCAAAUAAGGGAAUAAACCAUUAGGCCCUGUCUUUAUGUCUUUGGUUGGGGCGACCGCGGGGCAAUACAAAACCCCCAUGUGGAAUAAGAUUACUUAUCUUACAACCAAGGGCUACAGCCCUAAGUAACAGAAUUUCUGACCCUUAAGAUCCGGCAACGCCGAUCAACGAACCCAGUUACCCUAGGGAUAACAGCGCAAUCCUCUUCUAGAGCCCAUAUCGACAAGAGGGUUUACGACCUCGAUGUUGGAUCAGGACAUCCUAAUGGUGCAGCCGCUUUUAAGGGUUCGUUUGUUCAACGAUUAA
rnacentral:rRNA from 1 species